AGCGAACGCUGGCGGCAUGCCUUACACAUGCAAGUCGAACGGUAACAGGUCUUCGGAUGCUGACGAGUGGCGAACGGGUGAGUAAUACAUCGGAACGUGCCCGAGAGUGGGGGAUAACGAGGCGAAAGCUUUGCUAAUACCGCAUACGAUCUCAGGAUGAAAGCAGGGGACCGCAAGGCCUUGCGCUCACGGAGCGGCCGAUGGCAGAUUAGGUAGUUGGGGGGAUAAAAGCUUACCAAGCCGACGAUCUGUAGCUGGUCUGAGAGGACGACCAGCCACACUGGGACUGAGACACGGCCCAGACUCCUACGGGAGGCAGCAGUGGGGAAUUUUGGACAAUGGGCGCAAGCCUGAUCCAGCCAUGCCGCGUGCAGGAUGAAGGCCUUCGGGUUGUAAACUGCUUUUGUACGGAACGAAAAGACUCUGGUUAAUACCUGGGGUCCAUGACGGUACCGUAAGAAUAAGCACCGGCUAACUACGUGCCAGCAGCCGCGGUAACAC
rnacentral:rRNA from 1 species